rnacentral:pre_miRNA from 1 species
UUAUUACUUCCUCCGUUUCAAAUUACUCGUCGCUGAAAUAGAUGUAUAUAGAACUAAAAUACAUUUAGAUACAUCCAUACGUGCGACAAGUAAUUCGAAACGGAGGAAGUAUUUU